CCAGUUAUCCAUACAGUGAGGACUCAAAUCAGGGAAGGCAGUACAUGAAUACAAGGUGCCCCUCAUGGUGUGAUCGUAUCCUUUUGUCUCAUUCAGCACGGGACCUUAUUCAUAAGGCAGAAAAUGAUGAGAAGUCAGUUAUCUAUGACAACAUUGGACCAAAUGUUUGCAUGGGGGACCACAAGCCUGUCUUCCUGUUCUUUCGAAUAGCUGCUGGGGCAGGUAAACCUAAUAGAAAUAUGCGCAACUGUUGUGUGGUGCAGUGAUGUGGUGCUAAACGGUAUCAGCGGACUGAGAAAAUCUUUCGAGAAACUGCCCUCUAGUCUGUUUGCAACAAGCAAAUAAGAAGAGGAGGAACACGGACAUCAGAACGUUCGCGCACAUCUCUCUCAUUCGAUUCAUGUUGAUGCUGUAUUUCUUAGGGCCGCACCUCAGGCUGCUCAUCAUCCAUUUUGCUUUGACGUCUGAAGUCUUGCACAAGACGGCCACACAUACCUCGCCAUUUCAGACAUUCCUGUGACACUUGAGAAUUAAAUGUGGGACAGUUUUAAAAUGUGUCACAGAUUUGUUGCCAAACACUAACAGUAGAACUUACUACAUCUUUUAAAUAUCUCACGUUUAUAAUGUUUAGCUGAAAACAUUGUCUUCUAAAAAGGAGAAACCGUUUCCUUAUGUAAAGUUUCAUGAAGUGCAAUGCGAAAAUUGUAUAUCGAUACUGUAUUAGAGAGGUUUUUUUUUGUACAUUGGAUUGUAUAGAUCGUGGAAUUACUUCCAGUGAUGGUUUUAUUGAUAUUCCCUUCAUCUUUUUACGUCUGUGGUAGGCUAGUUAGGCAUUUUCAUUUUGGUGAUUCCUCAUAUUAGAUACUACAUUUUACAUAUCUGGUUUUGAAUCACAAUUUAGCCCUUCUCAUUUUUAUAUUCACUUUUAAAAGGAAACUAAUUUAUAAUAUAAUCUUUCCACAAGCCUACGUGAAAUUCCUUUCGUAAAGACUGACUGCUCUGACAUAUCAACGAUUAGUUAGUACGUAUAGCAGAUUGAAUAGAUAAAAAGUACAAGUCCUCGACCAAGUUAUACUGUAGAUAGCUUAUACAGUGCCAUUGUUGAUGAAAUAAUCGAAUUUGCUAUAAGCACCACAAAAGUCUUUCUGUGUUACGUACUUCUAUUGUAACUUAUUCCUGAAUAAUGCCAAGUUUUCAGAAUGUGAAAAUUAAUAGGAUGGGUAUCAUAAGAUUUUUUGUAAACUAUUUCUGUCUAUUUUUGUUACUGCAUAUAGUGCCAAGUAUCUAUGGACAGAGUUUAGUGGGAAUGUCUCCUGAUAAUCGCUUGCUAAAUGUGCUUCAAUGGAUUGUAUAUAAAGCCCUGAAACCUGAAGUUGCCAAUUUCGUAUUGUACCGCGAAUAUUUAAUCUCCAGCGCUAAUAUUGCAAAUUUUACAUGCUGCCUUCUUUACAGCAUUAAAAGAUGAUUAGGUCCGAAAAUGGGAAACACAGCCAAUGCCGAAACGUUUCCUCUUAUCGAUUUAAUUUACUACACUACAAAGUUCACUAGCUACUUGAUAGCGGUGGAUUGAUGCGUGUUUUCGUAUAAAUCACUACGAUUGGAAAUGAUUUUGUGUCUGCCGGCAGAAUUUAUGUGGCCGUGACCGUGAGAUCAUUCUCGUUUGUAGACCAAGUGUAACAAGCAGGAUGCAGACAAACUGUACCGAUGUGUCCAUGUAUCAAUAGCCACACACUGUAAACUAUUUUAUUAAAUCAAGGAUUCAACUUAAGUGACGUUUAUGGGCUAUAGAAAUAAAAUUCUUUGUUUCUCAAACAA